rnacentral:lncRNA from 1 species
UGAGAGACACAGAGAGAAGCAGAGACACAAGGCAGAGGGAGAAGCAGGCUCCCCGCAGGGAGCCCGAUGUGGGAUCCUAAGACCUGGGAUCACGCCCUGAGCCAAAGGCAGACACUGAACCACUGAGCCACCCAGGCAGCCCCAGGCAGGGGAUUUUUAAAGGGAACAGGAGGGGGAGAUAAAUCUCAAAUGUUAAGCAGAUGAAAUCAAGAUUAAUUAUAACUCCUCAGAGGAACUUCUAGACUUUAGUGUGGUUAUCUGUCUUGAGCAAGGCCCUGGUUGUCAUCAUUUGACUGUCACAUGCUUUUCAUUUGGUUUCAGUUGCAUUCUUUGUGUCCUCUAUAGAGCUUUAAACAAUAUUAUUAUCUUGGUUACAAUUUAAGCUUAAAUUGUGUUUGAGCUUUACAUGCAGGAUUAUUAACAUAGUUUGCUUCCUAUUGUAAAUCAGGGUUUCUCCUGUAGAGAUCACCUUAUCUUCAAAUAAUUGGAGACAGAAGAGAAAGUCAAGCCUUCAAAAUGGCAUUCGUUCUGCAACAAAUGUUUCAAGGGGCAUUAUAUGACCUGCCCUGUUGGCCUAGGCUAACCAGCCAAAAUUCUAAUGAUUCCGAGGGGACGGACUGUAGCAGCCAUGAAAAUAAGUUACUGGAACUUCCCACUGUGAGAAGCAUGAUUUGCUAAGAUUUCCAGCUGCUGCUUCUCUGGAUUAACCACUGCAUUCCAGCUGAUGCCCCACUUCUGGUGAGCUGCUGCCAGGUAAUGCCUGAGCAUUGUACUGGUACUUACUGAAGCAGGCCCAUUGGCGUGAGGUGUGGUCUUCCUUUUUGGACAACAUUGG